GGUUAGAAUCUUUAAAUCUAUCAUAUAGAUUUAAUUUAAAGGGGUUAUUAAGGAACAAAAAAGCAAAUUUAUAAAAAAGGAGGUAAAUACCAAAAGCUUUAAAUCUGAAUUUUAGUAGGAAAAGGAUCUAUUUUAACAAAAUUUUACUUUAUAUAAAGUAAAAUUAGUAUAAAAUAUUAUAUAAAAAAGCGAUCCUAAGGUAAACCUUAUUAAAAAAAACUUCCUGAAGUAAAACAUUUUAUGUAAGGAAAGGAAAGGAAAUCAACCGAGACUCCGAAAGUAAUGGCGAGUGAAAUCGGAUUAGCCUAAUCUAUUUGUAACAAAAAAAUUUAAAUAUUACUUGAAAUCUUAUUAAACCGAUAAAGAAAAAAUAAUAGUUUAAGUAUUAAACAUUGUUCACCUUUGGCCUAGCUAAGCUAAUUAUUUAUAAAUAAAAAUAUAAAUAGCCCUCUGGUUUUUAACCAUUCGGGUUUCAAACAAAGCAAGUCCUAGGAACAAUUAGUAAAUAUAUUAAUCAUGUUAUUUUUUACAAAAUAAGGUAUUCGAGUCCUGUAGAGUUAAUAACAAAUAAAUUGCCUAACUUCUCCUUUGUUCUUGUUUUUGUACUUUAUAUUUUAAAUAUAAAAGCAUAGCAAAAGCAAGAGGGAGAAUAGUUAGAAUAAAGUACGAUGAGAGUUAACUUGUCGGAAUAUAGGGGAACCAUCCUCUAAGGCUAAGUAUUAUAAAUUUAGCAAUAGCGAAAAGUACUGUAAAGGAAAAUUUUGAAAAGCAAGUAGUAUACUAAAGAUAUCAUAAAUAAAAAAAAGGUAGUGUUAUUUUAUAAUAUUAUCUUUUUUUUUAUUAAUUUAACUUAUUACUUAUCUUUAUUUUUUUAAACUAUCUCUAACCUCCUUUUUAUAUAUAAAAAAUAUAAAUACUUGCUUUGCUAGUUUUUCGGGGAAACUAGAGUCGUCGCUAGUAGAAAAAAAUUAUAUAAUUAUAAAAUAUGGUAUGGGAGAAAGAUCGUGAAUUAGAAAAUCUAUAAGCAGUCGAAGUUUCAUAACAAAAGUAAAAAGAAAAUGACGGCGUACCUUUUGCAUAAAUGGUCAGCAAGUUAAUAAGUAGCAAGGUUUAAACCUUAGCGAAACGGCUGGACUAUAAAAAUAGUGAUGGGUAAGUUACUUCUAUUAGACCCGAAGCCAGGUGAUCUUACCAAGACCAGAUUAUAAUGGAUCGAACGGUUGAAUGUUGCAUAAUUCUCCGAAGAGUUUUGGUAAGCGGUGAAAUGCCAAUCUGACCUGGUGCUAGCUGUUUUCUACCGAAACAUAUUUAAGUAUGAUGUCUAUCUAUAGAUUUAUGAAGGUACAGCAAGGCGAUUCCCAACAAGUUUAAUUUAAAUAAUUAUUUAUUUAAAUUUUAUACGUUUAGGUUGCGGGGACCUCGAAAAUCUUACCUUUGGAAGCGAAUCUCGGAAUUACAUAAAUUGAUGGUAGAUAUUCAGACUGUUCAUGCUAAGUUGGACAGUCAAGACGGAAACAGCCGAGAACACUGAUCAAGGUCCCAAAUGAUUGUUAAGUGAAAUUAAGGACGUAGCAAUAUCGUAUACAGCUGUGAAGUGAGCCUGGCAGUCGCUACUUAUAAUGAUCGUACGUAACAACGCAUCAGCAGUAAUUUUACUUAAAAAAAGUAAUAAAUGAUAGUAGCGCCGAAAAUUUAACGGGUCUUAAACAAUCAACCGAUAUCGUGUUGGUUAAAAAUAAUUUUUACACAGGUUGCAUAGAAUUAUUUUUAAUCUAGGUAGUAGAACAUUCAGUAAAACUGUUUAUAAAAUAGUGUUUCAUUAUUUUUUAGGUUACUGAAGAGAGAAUGCUGACAUGAGUAACGUAAAAAAUUCCUAUGGAAUUCGCCGAUACGAAAGGGUUGCAAAUAUGAAAGGUUAAACCGUUUUGUUUUAAUGCGGCCUCUAAGGACUAUAGCCAAAGCUAUGGCUGAUGAGUAAUAAAUAGAAAGUCCAAUAUUUAAAAAAUGGACCAGGAAAAUAAUAUUUAAUUUUACCCUCUGGUUUUUACAACUUCGGCUUUUGCUCUGUUUUAUAUUUAAAAUAUAAAGUACAAACAAAAGCAAGAGGUAAAAACUACCGUACCCUAAACCGACACAGGUUCGUAGGUAGAGUAUACUAAGGCGUUGAGCUAAAAGUUGUUAAGGAACUCGGCAAGUUAACCUCAUAAGUUUGACGACAAGAGGUACCGUUAAUAUUUAAACUUUAGCUUCUUGCUUAACUUAUUUAAUUAGUUUUAACCCUUUUUAUUUAUAUACAAAUAUAAAGAAUGGUUGUAAAAACUUUAUAUUUAAAAUAUAAAGUUUGUAACCAUUCGGGUUUCAAACAAAGCAAGAGGUUUAAGUUAUUUAUAUUUUUAUAUACAAUUUAAAUAUAAAUAAAAAAAAACAAAUUAACGGUGGCACAAAAUCGGAGGCCCCGACUGUUUACUAAAAACACAACACAGUGCAAUCAUUAAUAUGGUAGUAUACUGUGUGAAAUUUGCCCGAUGCCUUAAUAUAAGAAAAGUUAUGGUUAUUAUUUACUGUGACUAAUCGAAAAUCUGGUUAAUGGCGGUCUUAACUAUGAGGAUCCUAAGGUAGCAAAAUCAGUUGGCCAUUAAAUGUGGUCCGGUAUCAAUAAUGUAACGAUGGUCUCACUGUCUCUACAACUUGCUCAGUGAAAUUGAAUUAUGCGUGCAGAUGCGCGUUGCCUCCAGGGGGACGGGAAAACCCUAUGCAGCUUUACUGUAGUUAGUUAUCAUAUGAAUCUAGAACAAUCUUGUUUAAUAGUGAAUAGGAAUGUCGAUAGACUAAAUAGUGGAACCUUAUAAAUCAAGGUUGGGUUUGUGUUUACCUGAUAAUUUAAAAUUUAAAAUCUCAGGGAUAGUUGACUAAUUGGCAGUUGACUGGGGCGGUCGUCUUUAAUAGAGUAGCAAAGUACAUCCAAAUAUAUCAAACUACAGUAAAAACAAACCUUUUCUCUCCUACUUUAUAUUUUAAAUAUAAAGCAGAGCAAAAGUCAAAAGGGGGAUAAAGUUUUAUAACAAAAAAGUUUAAUCUUUUUAAAACUAUUAUAAGUAUAUUUAUAUAAUCUAAUUCUGGUCAAAUUAAUUAUAUUUAUAUGGCUUUAUUUUAGCUUUAAUUAAGGUUUAAAUUUUUAAUUUUUAAUUUUUAAUAUAUAAUUUAUAAGGUAUAGCUAGAAAUUGAAUGGAGAUCAAUCAACCAGUGAAGGGUUGCGCAGGGCUCAAUGGCGAUAAGCAUGCUUAACUGAAAGACUCAAAAGUCGCACAGAUACGUAAGUAGGGCAUAGUGACCCCUCGCUAUAGUAUGGGAUAGACGGGGAUCAAUUAAUAAAAGUUACGCUAGGGAUAACAGGCUGAUCGCGGACGAGAGUACACAUUGUCUCCGCGGUUUGGCACCUCGAUGUCGACUCAUCCUAUCUCCGGGGGAAGAAGCUUGGAAGGGUUCGGCUGUUCGCCGAUUAAAAGGGUACGUGAGUUGGGUUUUAAUACGACGUGAGUCAGUAUGGUCCCUAUCUUCUGGAGGGAUAAUUAGGUAAAAGGGGGCAGACCUUCUAGUACGAAAGGAUCAAUAGGCUGUGUUUCUCUAGUGUACCAAUUGUUUGUAAUUAAUGUAAGGGACUCUUAGUAUCUUGAAGGCAAAAGUAAAGAAAAAAGAGGAAAGUCCUUUUAACUUUUUUUUAAAAAAAGUUCUCCUUUUAAUAUAGGAUAUAGGGUAACUUUUAUGAAUGCAUAGUUGGGUAGCCACAAACAUAAUAGAUAAGUGACUGAAUGUCUAUAAAGGCAAGAAUCUAACCCC
rnacentral:rRNA from 1 species